GUGCUCGCUUCAGCAACACAUAUCCUAAAAUUGGAACAAUACAGAGAAAAUUAACAUAGCCGCUGCACAAGGAUGACACGCAAAUUCAUGAAGUGUUCCAUAUUUAU
rnacentral:snRNA from 1 species